rnacentral:rRNA from 1 species
GAAGGGGGGGANUGUCGCUGGCUCCGGAGCGAUCCGGAGCAUGUGCACGUCUCUUUUCUUACAACACACCCUGUGCACACAUUGUAGGCCCUCGAGAGAGGGACUAUGUUUUUCCACAUCACACACAUCUUUAUGUAUGUAACAUUGUAUGGCCAUAGAAGGUAUCUAGACUGUCGCUCGACCUCCAGGUCGGGUCAUGGUCUAACGAAUAUUACAACUUUCAGCAACGGAUCUCUUGGCUCUCGCAUCGAUGAAGAACGCAGCGAAUUGCGAUAAGUAAUGUGAAUUGCAGAUUUUCAGUGAAUCAUCGAAUCUUUGAACGCACCUUGCGCUCCUCGGUAUUCCGAGGAGCAUGCCUGUUUGAGUGUCAUUUAAUUCUCAACCAUGUCCUUGUAACGAGGCUUGGCUUGGACUUGGGGGUUGCUGGUGGCAAUGGCCGUCGGCUCUCCUGAAAUGCAUUAGCAAAGGGCAGCAAGUCUGUGGCGUGGCACGGCCUUUUCGACGUGAUAAUGAUCGUCGUGGGCUGGAAGCGUCGGACAUGCAUCGAUUGUCUUGUUUGCUUCCAAAUCACCUUCGAUUGGACUCGGAACUCGACCGGGGUUGGCUUAGCUAUUAGUUGGUCGUGAGGCCGACGAACGCAGGCCGGACUUGGCUUCGAGCGUUCGUGGUCUGGCUAUCGAAACUACCGAAACUUUGACCUCAAAUCACGUAGGACUACCCGCUGAACUUAAGCAUAUCAAUAAGCGGAGGAAAAGAAACUAACAAGGAUUCCCCUAGUAACUGCGAGUGAAGCGGGAAAAGCUCAAAUUUUGAAUCUGGCGGUCGUUCGGCCGUCCGAGU